GGAUCGAGCAUAAAACACCAUCUUCGAGAAAGGCUCUACUGCUGCUGCUGAUACCUUCAGAGAAAUAGGCACAAGACAAGAGGAAUAUUUUAGUUGAUAAUAAUUUCGUCCUCUUGUGAAUUCAAACCAGCACACUGAGGAGAAAUCAGGACUUCAGUGAUGUUACCGACUCAGCCAACAAGUGAGGUAUUAGUUAAUACCAAUUCCAACAUUUACAAAUCACUGUCGAAUUCAGGUUCAGGGGGCAAAGUGAGUCUUUGGAACUUCUGUCCAAACUUUUGAAGACGCUCAAGGAGGUGAGGGAUAAUUUUUUAACCCUUGCUACUCAAAUGGAAUGCACUCUAAAGUUCAGCCUUACAAUAAUCUCCUUGUAACAUGAAAAAAGUAGUGACAGCAGCUGCCUCUCACCUAAUUACUGAGCAGAAAAAGGUCCCUAUAAACCCUCUUGAACCCCUGAAGUGCAAAUGGUGGAAUUUGGGGAGGAAGCACCUCCUGAAGAAGGAAGAGGCACCCUCAAAGGAGAUUAACUCCUCUGCUUUGUUGUGCAGUUAUACAAUAUCAUCAUCAUCAUCAUUCAUCAUCUUUAAUUAACAUUCAUAGUUGGUGAGUACCCAUAUGAUUUAAUCUUAAUCUCAAACUGAAAUGAUUACCUCUCAAUCUUCAACUUUGAAAUGAUUACCAAAUCGAACGUUAUAGGGAGACGACAUCCACAUCAGAAAAAGUUAACUAGAUAAAAUCAAAGAUACAUAAAAUUUUAAUAU